GACGAACGCUGGCGGCGUGCUUAACACACGCAAGUGGAACGGAAAGGCCAUGCUUUUGUGGGGUGCUCGAGUGGCGAACGGGUGAGUAACACGUGAGUAACCUGCCCUUGACUUUGGGAUAACUUCAGGAAACUGGGGCUAAUACCGGAUAGGAGCUCCUGCUGCAUGGUGGGGGUUGGAAAGUUUCGGCGGUUGGGGAUGGACUCGCGGCUUAUCAGCUUGUUGGUGGGGUAGCGGCUUACCAAGGCUUUGACGGGUAGCCGGCCUGAGAGGGUGACCGGCCACAUUGGGACUGAGAUACGGCCCAGACUCCUACGGGAGGCAGCAGUGGGGAAUAUUGCACAAUGGGCGGAAGCCUGAUGCAGCAACGCCGCGUGCGGGAUGACGGCCUUCGGGUUGUAAACCGCUUUCGCCUGUGACGAAGCGUGAGUGACGGUAAUGGGUAAAGAAGCACCGGCUAACUACGUG
rnacentral:rRNA from 1 species